rnacentral:lncRNA from 1 species
GUUUACUUGUCAUGGUAAACUUAGAGUUUACUAGAAAAAGGUACAUGUCAUGGUAAACUUGGAGUUUACUAGAAUAAAAGUUCUGACAUGCGACACCCCAAAGAUGUGUAUACUGAGUAUAGAACAUAUAUUGAAGAAUCAAAAAAUUCUUUAUCACUUUUAAUGUUGCUUGUUCUCAUGAUAAGUUGGUUGGACCAACUAAUUUUGGGAUUGGAUCCCUUAAAAUCUAA